ACUGGAAGAAUAGGGGGUGGCCACUUACGUGUACUGUUCUCCCUCUCAGCCCCUAGUGUUUCACCUGCUGGCCAGUGUACCUAGUCUCUUCUCAUGUGGCCUCCUGGAGAUGCCUCCCCUUAUUUCUGUGCCUCUCACCUAAAAUGGUUGUCCCUAGGAGGCUACUCCCAAACAUCUACCCAAAUAAAGUAGGGCACAGGCUGCCUUGAGAGCAUCUCUUUGUUUUAUCUUCUUAGCUUAGCACUUAGCUAUACCUGAAAUUAUGGGAUUAUGGUCCUUCUCUAUGAAGAACACUUAUCAAAACCCACCUAUGUUCCCUGUGGGAUUGCUAGAACUCAUAGAACAACAUGAACAUAGAAUAGAGAGUUGCCUGAUAGCCCCAAACUGAAUGGGUAGAGAGAGAUGAAAGCAUGAAGCCAAGGGCCUCAAGAACAGGGUGUACUUCUGCAGGAAGGGGGGAAGGGAGGGUGGAUUACACAGUGACUAUGCCCCACAACAGGAGGCUUUACCCCACCACCCUGGGGAGGCCCAAGUGGAACAGCUGGAUGAAUCAGUGCACCCAUGCAGCCAGUCACCAACUACAGGAAAAACCAAUGAUCUCAAACUGGAAUCCACCCACAGCUUGCUGUCCCUGACACUCCAAGAGACCUUUAUCAGUAUUCUAUAUAGCCUUCUAAGGACAUUGUGUAUUUGGAUCUCCAGGUCUGGCUUUGAUCAAGGCAAGGCCACCCACUAGGACCCUAUUUUUCUGGUGCCUUUCUACCGUAUCUCAUUUUAAACUCUUAACAAAAAUCUUUAAGCCAUUAACCAGGAAAUCAUCAUUAAAUCAUUUGUUCAUUUUUAUUAGCAUCCCAGUAAUUAAAGAGAAUCAUAUUUCAGAAAUCUUCAGCUGCACUUAUCAAAACCCACCCUCCAACCAAUCAAUUAGUAUUACAAUAACUGAGGUCCCUCGUUGCUGCUGCUAUUAGCAUUUUGAUUGAAUGUCUGUUGAGAAGUGACUGGUAACAGAAGAUUGUGUUCAGAAAGUAAUGUUUCUUUAUUCGUUUCCACCGAACCUUGUCUGGUUGUCUCCAGUCUCGACUCAAAAGAGACAAGACAGUUUCCAAAAGCAGUCAUUUUGGUGGUGGAUUAUAUUUUCAUGAGGUGUGUGAUAAAUUGGGCCUAAUCACUCCAGAAUCGCCAGCUACACACAGAGGCCUCCCACUGGCUACAGCACCCAGGAGCUGGGCUGGCUGUUGGCCCUACAGGAUGAGGUCCCUCUGCCACCUUGCUCUCCACCGAGAUCAUCCAGGACCAAGAUCAUCCAGGACCGUAAACACCAGAUCGUUCACAAAUGGCCCUUCAGGCAACUCAGAUCUAAUAAUGCCUGUGCCAGAGUGGCCCAUGGCUGUUGUUAUUCACAGGGAAGAUCAUCAUUAUUAUACACCCCCUCUCUGCCAAGCACUUGGGAAACCUGUUAUUCUAACAUUCAGACUUAAGUUCUCCAGUCGUCAUCAUAAUAAUAAAAGCACCAGUCAGUGCAGAGAUGGGUUAACAAGCUCCAUUAUAGGGACAGAAAGGCUGUCUUCUCCAAGCCACAGUAAUUAACAAGAGUUCAUUAAAAUCAACAGCCUGUUCCUUCACAGCUCUAUUUACUGUUGCUCCCCCUGCCUGCCCCAUCACUGAGGCCUUUUGUGGAGACCUCCAGACACACAAUGCCAUCAAGCCAACAGAAAGGUUUCAAUCUUCCUCUAGUAAGUUAGUCAUAGCAGCUGUGGGAACUAAAGGAGAUUGUACUCUGACUUGUCCUGAACAGAAGUAAGGUAGGGGACAGAAACUGGUAUGUGUCUAGGGUGGGAAGGCUAUGUGUUCCCAACUAUAGAUAUGGUAGCUGGCUACAUCUAUGCAUCAGCCUGUUCCUAUAUCUACCCACCCAUCCACUACCAAUCUGCAGAAAAAGCCCAAGCUUCACGUUCAGUGCAUAUGACCUUGGUGCAAGGAACCUGUCCCUAUUCCAAUGGCAGGGCUGUAUUAAUGCUUCAUUAAAAACUAAAAUUAAAGGCUUCCAGAAUUCAGAGUAAAAAAAAAAAAAACUAAGCUAAAAAGUGCUGUUUCCUGUUUGAAAAAAAAAAAAUCUCUUCUCUAAACUCAAGUCUCCUUUUUCUCCUCCUCGGCUCUUGUUUCUCCCCUGGCUGCCAGCCAAGAUUUUAUAAUAGUGUCAGGUAGCAAUUUCAUUUUUAAAAUGCUCUUAUCAAGGAUUUAAGGUGAAAGAUAAGAACAGCACAGUAAAUCUUCAUAAAGGAGUGCAGUAUGAGGCAUAGUAUUUUACAAAUCAAAACAGUUAAACGAAAUGAAAAGGCAAGGACAGGGAAACAAAGUGAGUUGAACAGGGGCUGGAAGGGGGAGGGGAGAGGCCAAGUUAAAUAGAAAGAUCAUCCUUCAGAUCUCCCAGCUCCCUUUGGUAAUGGUCUUGGCAUAUUUGCUAAGAAUUGCAUGAACACUCCAAUUUCCAUUUUAAAAUAGCAUGUUUUUAGAAGGCAUAUAUAUUGUCAAACCAUUACACACACUUAACCGAGGGUUUUCAACCAAGUCAUCUGACCUGUAAGCAUGUGUUGCUAAUAUCACUGCUUUAUAAUUUAUCAAAUCAAUUUCUUCAUGGAAUGACUAAUAACACAUCCACAGCUGCUCUCCUCUUCCCUCCCCAGCUGCUCCCACCCCAAGAGCUGCAGCAACAUGCGCUGGGCUACCUGCGGUGCCUCAGCUCCUUCCCACCUCUACUACACACACUCCGCUAAAGAACAUUAUAGAAACAUAAGAAAGGAGGUGAGCCCAGGAGGUGCCACUAAUGACCAAACUACUUUGUAGAGGCCGCUUUGUUAUUUACUACCCAGGAAAAGUUAGCAACACAGCUAAUGACCAGGCUAGGGCUCUUUAUUUUAUGAGGAAAGAGGAAAGAUUUUAAUUAGCCUCACAAUCAAGAAACUACAACCUAUGUUAAGACAGGAACAUAUAUUUCCUUUCUUCUUUCCACCCUCAUAACAACUUGAUUCCAGUGAAUUUUUUAAAACAAUCAACCAAGGGCCACAGCCAACUCUUGCCUACAUACAAACAUACCCAGACACACAUCCCUUACACAUAUACACAUAAUACAUAUAGGGCUGGAAUACAAUCCCAAAGUGGCAACAAAAAUUUAAAACUUGUGAAAAUAAACUCAGUACAGUUCAAUUUAGCUCUUUACAAACACUGUCAAUCUCCCUGGGACCUACCUUACAAGUGCACAACAAAUAAAAACAUACAAUUAGAUGAUUGCUUAUUUGUCAAGGAAUGAUUCAAUUGUCCAUUAAAGGCUGGAGUUCUAAAAAUAAUUUAAAGACACACAGCUCUGUUGUAAAACAGAUUAGCACUAUGGGCAAAAUACAAAGCUUCCUUUGUAAAUCCUACCUACUUUUUUUUUUAAAGAUAAGACAAUAGAAUGGGUGAGAGGCCAGUUAAAGCAUAAUUUUCAGAGUGUGUUUUCUUGUUGUCAGUCAGAAAAAUUAUCAGAUGUUUGUUUACACAGCAGUUUAUAAAUAAAUAUAGUAGUCGAAUCAAGAGAUCUCUUUCCACGACAAAUGAAAUCAUCUUAACUAAAAGGAAACUUCAGGUGCCUAAGACAGAAAAUUUUGGAGGUUGGAAGGUAACACAACUCUCAGUGCAAUACCUUACUGGGAAGGAAAUGCACAGGUGGUGUAGAUCUUCAGCAGAUGCCUGACUAAGUCAACCAUCUUCUUUUACCUUGGCUGUAUGUGGCAGCUACAAAGGUACUAAUGGCAUUUGUUCUUCCUUUUUAGCAAGCAAGAUCUCUCAAAAGUCUGCUUGGGUCCCUCAGGUGCCAGAGCUCAAAGUGAGAAGAGACUACCAUCCUGAGAUCCUAGACACAGGUCAGGACCAAGGAUCUGUUCCAGAGAAGAGAUGGCAGCUGUGCCUCAGUGGACUAUAAGGCUAGAAGCGUCUUUUGUGAUGACAUGACCUAGGCAAAGGCUCCCAGCCCUGGCUGCAUAUUAACAUCUGCUGGGAGAAUUUCAAGAUAAUCAAUGCCAUGGGCUCCAUCUGGGUCUCACUUAACUGACCUGGGGUGGGGCCCAGGCAACUGUGUGGUUUAAAAACUCCCCAGGUGAUUCGAAUGUUAAGAACCACUGGUCUGGGGCUGGGGAUAUGGCCUAGUGGCAAGAGUGCUUGCCUCAUAUACAUGA